UACGAAGGGUGCAAGUGUUAAUCGGAAUUACUGGGCGUAAAGCGCGCGUAGGUGGUUCAGUAAGUUGGAAGUGAAAUCCCCGGGCUCAACCUGGGAACUGCUUUCAAAACUGCUGAGCUAGAGUACGGUAGAGGGUGGUGGAAUUUCCUGUGUAGCGGUGAAAUGCGUAGAUAUAGGAAGGAACACCAGUGGCGAAGGCGACCACCUGGACUGAUACUGACACUGAGGUGCGAAAGCGUGGGGAGCAAACAGG
rnacentral:rRNA from 1 species